rnacentral:rRNA from 1 species
UUAUAAGAGACAGCAGUCGCCGCGGUAAUACGUAGGGUGCAAGCGUUAAUCGGAAUUACUGGGCGUAAAGCGUGCGCAGGCGGUUAUAUAAGACAGAUGUGAAAUCCCCGGGCUCAACCUGGGAACUGCAUUUGUGACUGUAUAGCUAGAGUACGGCAGAGGGGGAUGGAAUUCCGCGUGUAGCAGUGAAAUGCGUAGAUAUGCGGAGGAACACCGAUGGCGAAGGCAAUCCCCUGGGCCUGUACUGACGCUCAUGCACGAAAGCGUGGGGAGCAAACAGGAUUAGAUACCCCUGUAGUCCCUGUCUCUUAUAC